AACGAACGCUGGCGGCAUGCCUAACACAUGCAAGUCGAACGAGACCUUCGGGUCUAGUGGCGCACGGGUGCGUAACGCGUGGGAACCUGCCUUUAGGUUCGGAAUAACUCAGAGAAAUUUGAGCUAAUACCGGAUAAUGUCUUCGGACCAAAGAUUUAUCGCCUUUAGAUGGGCCCGCGUUGGAUUAGCUAGUUGGUGGGUAAAGGCCUACCAAGGCGACGAUCCAUAGCUGGUCUGAGAGGAUGAUCAGUCACACUGGAACUGAGACACGGUCCAGACUCCUACGGAGGCAGCAGUGGGGAAUAUUGGACAAUGGGCGAAGACCUGAUCAGCCAUGCCGCGUGUGUGAAGAAGGUCUUCGGAUUGUAAAGCACUUUAAGUUGGGA
rnacentral:rRNA from 1 species